rnacentral:tRNA from 1 species
GGAGGGUGCCGUCGAGGCGACGAACGGGACUGCAACUCCCGGGGUUGCUAGACAAGACCUAGCAUCGCGGUUCGAUUCCGCCACCCUCCG